CAGGAUGAACGCUGGCGGUAUGCGUAACACAUGCAAGUCGAACGGAAUCUUUAGGGAUUCAGUGGCGGACGGGUGAGUAACGCGUGAGAAUCUGGCUUCAGGUCUGGGACAACAGUUGGAAACGACUGCUAAUACCGGAUGUGCCGAGAGGUGAAAGAUUUAUUGCCUGAAGAUGAGCUCGCGUCUGAUUAGCUAGUUGGUGUGGUAAGAGCGCACCAAGGCGACGAUCAGUAGCUGGUCUGAGAGGAUGAUCAGCCACACUGGGACUGAGACACGGCCCAGACUCCUACGGGAGGCAGCAGUGGGGAAUUUUCCGCAAUGGGCGAAAGCCUGACGGAGCAAUACCGCGUGAGGGAGGAAGGCUCUUGGGUUGUAAACCUCUUUUCUCAGGGAAUAAAAAAAUGAAGGUACCUGAGGAAUCAGCAUCGGCUAACUCCGUGCCAGCAGCCGCGGUAAUACGGAGGAUGCAAGCGUUAUCCGGAAUGAUUGGGCGUAAAGCGUCCGCAGGUGGCUGUGUAAGUCUGCUGUUAAAGAGCAAAGCUUAACUUUGUAAAAGCAGUGGAAACUACACAGCUAGAGUGCGUUCGGGGCAGAGGGA
rnacentral:rRNA from 1 species